UUCAAAUCAAAAACGAAGUUUUGCCUUCUCUCUUUCGUCUCCUAUCAGGUCACGCAACCCUUUCUCUCGUCUCUCAGUCGAGUGCUCCGAUUGCCCAUGCCACACGCCAAUAUCGAAGUUGGGUUUCGACAGUCGUAGAGACCGACGUUGUACGCUCCGAUUGCCCGUUCAUUUGCCACUCCGAUUAGCAGUGUCGUCGGGUUUCCGCAGACACAAAGCAAGUAAAUCCCAACGUCGUUGCUACCAGGUUUCGUCGAUCUCACCAUUCGCCCACUUGCACGUGUGCCACUUAGCCACACGCGUCCAGUCGCCAGCGUUUCACCUUUAGUUAUAAGAGUCUCCAGUCGCCAAUGUUGUCUACAGUUCGUCGUCGUCAGUUUCGCCACUCGUUCGCCGGGCAUGCUGCUUCAGAUCUGUUAGCAUGCUUGUGCAGGUCAGCAAAUUUCAUCAAGUCUAAUUUAUUGAAAGCUUGUUGACCGACACAAGCUUAUAAUACUGAGAUGAAGGUUCAUAGAUAUUUCAUGCCUGUGUCGUGGGACAAUUUUCAAGUGCUGAAGUAAGGAAAGCGCACCAAAUUUCUGAUCCAAAAAGUUAUGGAUAGAUUCUCUUCCUUUCCUUGAAGCAUUAGGUAAGUUGUCAAUUUCAAUACUCGAUGUUCCAGAUAUAUUUAGUUCAUCUUAUGCCUUAUAUCCAAUUAUUUCUUGUAUUAUAGGCAUACUUUCUCCUCUUAAUAGUAAAGAAAAUAAAGCUUUAUUUCUCCUCUUGAUUGUAAAUUAGUCUGUUUUCUUCCCCAUCUGCUCUUAUGAUGGGUUUAAUGAUUAAAAAAAAAAAAAAAGAAGGAAAAGAAGUAGUACCAAGGAAUUUGAAUCUCUCUUAUUUAUGGUGUUCCCGAGUUGUAUCUAUUCACUUAUUCAACUUAUAUGAGCUAUAUCUAUUUAAUUUAUAUGAUCUUUCAAGAGAUAUUGGGACUGUUGAAUCUUGUGAUGAGAAUACUGAAUUGAAGUUCAUCUAUUACUUAGUUCUGUAAAGUAGAUUGAGUUUGGUUCUUUUCGUUGAAAAUGGAAUUUAGCAGGUAGUUGUUUAUUCCUAAUUGCUUUUGGCUACUAAUGUCAAGUGCUUCCACUAAAUUAGAUUUUGUUUUUUUUUUUUUAAUUUUUUUUUAUAUGUUUAUAUGUGAAGUGCUUUUGAUUUAUUUCCUAUUUAAGCAGUCUUCUUUGACCCAUUGCAUUCAACAUUUAUAAUUUCAAAGGAUGUCCAAAUUUUUAUGUGUUGAAUUGAGCAUUAACAUUUAAAGUGAAUCCACUUUGAUUUAUGUGUUGAAAGUGAAAUUGAAUGAUAGUUAUUGCCUUGCUGGUUCCUAAUUGGUUUUCGCUAUUGACACAAACAACUUAUACUAGUAUUAGACUUUUCUUAAUUUUUUGUAGUUUAAAUGUAAUAAACCUUUGAUAUUUAUAUAAGCAAUCCUCUUCAAUUCAUUGCAUCUGGGUUUCGGUAUCUAGAGUUGCAAAGGAUAUCAGAGUUAUUAUACGGUGUUGUACUAUUGUAAGCUUUUAGCAUUCAAGGUCGUCUAUAACUGGUAAGGUAUUGUUUGUAUAAAUGGUAAUGACUUUAUCAUAAAAGCCCUUUUGGACAUGCAUCAGCUUUUAAUUUUCAAUUGUAAUCCAUUUAUAUGCUUGUGGUAUUGAAUUAUCUCUUCGCAACAAAUGUUGUGUAUCGGUAUGUUACAUUUUCAAGUAUACAGGAUGGAUUCAACUGUGAAUGCGGUAUGUUAAUGCUAAAUAUUUUAGCCAUUUAUAUACUUGUGAUGAUUGAUUAAUAUGCAUGGUAGUGCAAUUAGCAGCGGCCAAGCUAAGGACCCAGAGGUUGCUUUUUUCAAGAGGUUGGAAGGCCUUCAGCCUUGUGAGGUUCAAAAACUAAAAGCUGGAACACAUAUAUUCACUGUCUAUGGUAUAAAAUGUUUAUGUUGCUUUCUAGGUGUCUAAAUUCUAAUUAAAAAACUCCCUCUUUGUUGGUAGAUUCAUCUGAGUUUUUGAAUUCUUCUCCUUACAAGUACUUAUUAUUCCAACCAAAAUUAACAAGAAUACUGUUGAAAUUAUCACUUCUGUGAAGCUCAUUAAAAAGGGUAAUAUGGUUGGAUCUUCUCCUUACAAGUUUCUAUUUUUUUUUCUUUUGGCAUGUUUUGUCACAGUUGCAAGACCAAGCUUUUGAUGAGGAAAUAUCCAGCCAAAUGUGGAUGAUUUUUUAGGUGAAAAUCUAAAGAGAGGUUGAUGAAUGUAGCUCUCAUAUUCGUGUUUUACUUCCAUGGUGGUGGAUCCGAGUUCACAAGUGAGCUUUACAACCUUUGCAGAAUUAUGCUUCAGAUAAAGUAUUGAAUUGGGCAAUCAUAAAUGAGCCUAAUGCACUUGAUGGAGGAUAUGACUUGUUUUAAUUCUAGGAACUUACUACCUCUGAGUCGUCUCAGUAUAUGAUUUUAAGUUUUCGAUACUUUGGUCUUCAAUGUAAAAUAUAUCUAUAUCUAUUUAUAUAUACAUACACACUUCAUGGUU